GACGAACGCUGGCGGCGUGCUUAACACAUGCAAGUCGAACGGAAAGGCCCUGCUUUUGUGGGGUGCUCGAGUGGCGAACGGGUGAGUAACACGUGAGUAACCUGCCCUUGACUUUGGGAUAACUUCAGGAAACUGGGGCUCAUACCGGAUAGGAGCUCCUGCUGCAUGGUGGGGGUUGGAAAGUUUCGGCGGUUGGGGAUGGACUCGCGGCUUAUCAGCUUGUUGGUGGGGUAGUGGCUUACCAAGGCUUUGACGGGUAGCCGGCCUGAGAGGGUGACCGGCCACAUUGGGACUGAGAUACGGCCCAGACUCCUACGGGAGGCAGCAGUGGGGAAUAUUGCACAAUGGGCGGAAGCCUGAUGCAGCAACGCCGCGUGCGGGAUGACGGCCUUCGGGUUGUAAACCGCUUUCGCCUGUGACGAAGCGGGAGUGACGGUAAUGGGUAAAGAAGCACCGGCUAACUACGUG
rnacentral:rRNA from 1 species